CUAUUUGCUAACAAUCAGACAACGUCCCCUUGUGGGAUUAUGUCGUGCCUAUUGAAGAAUGAGCCGGCGAGUAUUUGAUAACUGCAGGUUAAGACACUUCCGUGUUGGAGCCAAAGUGAAAGCGAGCCUGAAUAGGGCGAAAUAUUGUAGUUAUUGAAUGACCCGAAACCGGGUGAGCUUACCAUGGCCAGGCUGAAGCCCUGAUAGUAUCGGGGUGGAGGGCCGAACCGGUGUUUGCUGCAAGAAGCUCGGAUGAGUUGUGGUUAGAGGUAAUAUGCCAAUCGAACCCGGAGAUAGCUGGUUCUCCCUGAAAUAUAUUUAGGUAUAGGGUCAUGUGAAGUAUGCGUGGGGGUAGAGCACUGAUCGGGUGUCUUCGUCGAAAGAUGGAGCAUCUAGUCAAACUCCGAAUACUCUGUGUUAUUCCGUGGCACUCAGCACCUGGGAGCUAAGUUCCAGGAGCAAAAGGGUAACAAUCCAGACCAACAGCUAAGGUCUCUAAUAU
rnacentral:rRNA from 1 species